UGCCAGCAGCCGCGGUAAUACAGAGGGUGCAAACGUUGUUCGGAAUUACUGGGCGUAAAGCGCGUGUAGGCUGUCACGCAAGUCGGAUGUGAAAGCCCGGGGCUCAACCCCGGAAGUGCAUUCGAAACUGCGCGACUAGAGUCUCGGAGGGGAUAGCGGAAUUCUGGGUGUAGAGGCGAAAUUCGUAGAUAUUCGGUGGAACACCAGUGGCGAAGGCGGCUCGCUGGCUCGAUUCUGACGCUGAGGUGCGAAAGUGUGGGGAGCAAACAGGAUUAGAUA
rnacentral:rRNA from 1 species